rnacentral:rRNA from 1 species
CCUACGGGUGGCAGUAGUCGAGAAUCAUUCACAAUGGGGGAAACCCUGAUGGUGCGACGCCGCGUGGGGGAAUGAAGGUCUUCGGAUUGUAAACCCCUGUCAUGUGGGAGCAAAUUAAAAAGAUAGUACCACAAGAGGAAGAGACGGCAAACUCUGUGCCAGCAGCCGCGGUAAUACAGAGGGCUCAAGCGUUGGUCGGAAUCACUGGGCGUAAAGGGUGCGUAGGCUGUUUCGUAAGUCGGGUGUGAAAGGCGCGGGCUCAACCCGCGGACGGCACAUGAUACUGCGAGACUAGAGUAAUGGAGGGGGAACUGGAAUUCUCGGUGUAGCGGUGAAAUGCGUAGAUAUCGGGAGGAACACUCGUGGCGAAGGCGGGUUCCUGGACAUUAACUGACGCUGAGGCACGAAGGCCAGGGGAGCGAAAGGGAUUAGAUACCCUGGUAGUC